CUCUCAACAUAGAGUUAGAUUCAUAUGUAACAGGAGAGGGCCGCCAUAAAUGCUGCAAAUGCAAAGAAACAGACUUGUCCUCAUACUAUGGGGCGUGUGAGUUCGGUUCGAAGGCAACAAGAGAUGGCUAUCAAAGAUAGAUUAUUAUUAUGGAGAGUUAACAGAUUGCGUAAAGAUGGCACCUGGUCAUCUGAAGAUGCUAAUCAGAGAUGGAUACAAGCUUGCGAGCUCUUGGCUAAGGAUGGACUUACACCAGAGGAUGGGAAUGCAGAGGAAGAAAA